GUAGUUAAAUCGUGUGCUCGUCGAGGGUUUGGGAAAAGAGGUGCUGAAGUCGACGGAAACAUUUCAAGAAAAGUUGAUGGAAACAUUGGAUAAAGAAGAUGCUCCUAUGUCAGCGAAAGUGGUACGCUUAUGUUUUUAAUAUA